GAUUGUCCCAAGACCUGCUGCUUUAAUAAUUUAACAACUCCGAAUUGUUAUUUCCAAGAAAAUGGUAGGAGUUUUAAUUACUAUAUAGUUUUCGUCGUAAUGUAGACACUUCCGAAAUUUUCUUAAAUGCACACGAGAUAAUGGUACGAGUUCGAGACUGGUAUUGAUUUAACUAUAACUUAAAUAUGAUCACAUACUGACCAGCCUCGAGACUGGCAUUGAUUUAUUAAAUCUAGUUCAUAUUUAUCACCCUCGAGAUCAAAUUAUUAUUUCUAUGUGCGCUAGACCAAGUGCAUGCCUGACACUGGAACCCACCACUACCAACACAAUGCUGUAUUGAUUAGUGCUUUCACCAUUGCAUAAAAUCAGCCGCACAUUACCAUUUUCCUAAUAACUAUCACCAUAAGCCAGAACUAUGGCAUCGUUACGAUUAAGGCAAUCACAUCGGGAAACUAACAUCGGGAAUGAUGAAUAUUUAAUAUUAAUUUAACCAGCAACUUGUGGUGUCAUGGUUCCAUGGUUCCCACGCUUGCUUUUCAAGCUGGUUCAAUCCUUAAUCGGACCUCUACUCAAGGUCUUAAAAUAAUAGUUUUUCAAGAAAUCCUGGCUGGAUAAUGAUCAUUUAGAGUUUCCUUUUGUAGAGUUUUGUCGAAUGUAGAAAAAAAACCUAUCAAACCAACGGUUAAACUCAUCUCAAGUAAAGCGCUAACCGAGCUUAGGACAACUGGCCCAAUCACAAUUUAUUUUUCUGCAUUUCCAUUUCUAGCUUAUGGUCCAAUUCAACAUUCUAACGGACUAUGUAUAAGUGUAACAGAUGGUUCUAACACUCUAAUUUGGUCAACAGACUGUACGUCAAGAAAUGCAUUCUUUUUGGUAUCAUACGAUCAUCCACCGUAUCACGUAGCUUCUGGCAAAUGUGUUUUGCCAUCCGGGUACGUGUUUUGGAAAGUG